GGUAGAAUCCGAUAGUUGGUUAUUCGGGUCGGCUUAAGUAAUUUAUCUUAAGUUUUCCGGCUGCCUCAGGCGUCCUGGGUUCGAGUCCCAGUUCUACCA